rnacentral:misc_RNA from 1 species
CAUUCUCUCCUUAUGCAGAAAAUCACAUGUCUUGUGCAAAUCAAAAUUUUCGGCACCCCACUUUCCCACCUCCCACUUCCCGUCGUUCCUGUUCACGCCUCCCCCCCACGUCCAUUUUUCUCUGCAUCACUCCUCCUUCCCACUCCCCUUUUCACCGCCCGCUACCCUUACAUCCCCUUACCUCUUUUACUUUCUUCAUUCCUCCUCCAUUCUCACCAUCGACAACACCAUGGAAUCGCCUCCCCAUUCCCCUCAAGGCUCCUCUCUCCAAGUCACGCCCUUGGCAAUGCGGUCCCCUAAUCCCGAUUCCCCUCCACAACAAACCCCUCCACCACCUCCCACAGCCACCUAUAAGAGGAAAAUCCGAUCGAAAUCCACCCGACCCAUGGCUUCUGCACCACCUCUCACAAAACGCAAAGACCCACCUCCACUCCACUUUCAGAGCCUUCACCCAAAAACCCCAAAACUUCAACCUCCACACGACAUGGGGUUGGCGUUUCUACCUCUACCCCACAAGCCAAAUCACCCUCUUCUAGCAAAAAGCAAAUUUCAG